rnacentral:rRNA from 1 species
AACGAACGCUGGCGGCAGGCUUAACACAUGCAAGUCGAACGCCCCGCAAGGGGAGUGGCGCACGGGUGAGUAACGCGUGGGAAUAUGCCCUUCGGUUCGGAAUAACACAGGGAAACUUGUGCUAAUACCGGAUACGAUCUACGGAUGAAAGAUUUAUCGCCGAGGGAGUAGCCCGCGUAGGAUUAGCUAGUUGGUGAGGUAAUGGCUCACCAAGGCGACGAUCCUUAGCUGGUCUGAGAGGAUGAUCAGCCACACUGGGACUGAGACACGGCCCAGACUCCUACGGGAGGCAGCAGUGGGGAAUAUUGGUCAAUGGGCGCAAGCCUGAACCAGCCAUGCCGCGUGCAGGAAGAAGGCCCUCUGGGUUGUAAACUGCUUUGAUAGGGAACAAAUGCCACUUGCGAGUGGAGCUGAGUGUACCUAUAGAAUAAGCACCGGCUAACUCCGUGCCAGCAGCCGCGGUAAU